AUGGCGUUCGCGUGGAGUGUGGCGCCGGUCACAUCGAGGAAGUGGUGUCCGCGUGGUUUCAGGCGCAGGCAGCAACGGAAUCAGUAUCCGGGCCGUUCCGUCGACGACGUCCUUGCGGUGGAAGGAUGUGACAUCCCCCUGCGAUGGAGAAGAGGAGGAAGGGAGGAGCUGGGUUAUGGGUUACCGCCGGGCGACCAUCGCAAGGGAGCGCAAUGGACGCCUCGAUCUGUAGGGGCUCGCCGUGUGGGGAUGGGCUGGGCUGUAGAGAAGGGGAGAGGAUAUGUGGUGGACGCCAGCGGCUUGGGAAGAGGAGGACGAAGGGGAUCGGGGCAUGGGGACGGAGAAGUGGGUGGUGCGUCAGGGUGUGGAGUACCAGAGGAGCACCGCUGGAGGUCGGGGUUGGAGGAGCGCCGCAAGAGGUCGACGUGGCGGCUGGUGCCGCCGAUCAUGCUUGCAGGCGAACCCUCGACCCCGACGGGUGAGGCAUGGCAAGCGGCAACCGCGCAGUGGGCGCACGGACGGCGAGGCGGCGCUAAAUCAGGGCCGAAGCGCACGGAGCGGCGGCAAAACAUUCCUUGGAUUGGGGAAGAGAUGUAUUGGGUGGAUGCGGGGAGCGUGGAAGUUUGGGAUUACAAUAUAUUAAGGACAGUAAUCCCUAUCAUCACAAACGCAUCACAAACUUGGCAGUCCAUCGUCCAUGGGUUGGAGCUUUUGAAACAAGGCCUGAUUUGGCGUAUUGGUAAUGGCAGAUCGGUUCGCAUUUGGAGGGACCCUUGGAUCCCUCACCCCACUGGUCGCCCUCCAAUAUCGCAACAAGGUAGAUGUAGACUGCGAAGGGUCAGUGAAUUACUUGAUGAAACGGGUGCAUGGCAGUCAGACUUACUGCAGCAGUAUUUUUUGCCUGUUGACGUCCAUCAUAUCAUGAAGAUAAAGGCCUCUCCACGGCUAGGCGAUGACUUUAUUGCAUGGGGGGCUGAACGUACUGGUAUCUUCACCGUACGUAGUGCGUACCGGCUGGCACUCGAGGACAGGUUGCGUCCCUCUUCAGUCGCGGCGAGCAGGGCACCGGACGGGCGACGUGCCGUCUGGGCAUUUUUAUGGAGGUGCCCUGCUCCUCCAAAGGUGCGUGUUUUUGGUUGGCGUGUGGCUACGAAUGCUCUCGCAACUUGGCCAAAUAAAUUUGCUCGCCAGAUGGAGCUUACUGACGUGUGCCCUCUCUGUGGUCUCAAGCGUGAGGACACGUUUCAUGUGUUUUGCAGGUGCCCAAGAGCUGUUGAUCUGUGGCAAGCCAUGGCGCAAGUUUGGUGGAUACCUGAUGUUAAAUCAAUCCGCAAUACAGGACUGGAGUGGUUCCUGAAUCUCAUCGCGGAGUGCGACGAGGGUGACCGCCUCAGAGUCCUCAUGCUUAUGUGGAGAUGCUGGCACGUGCGUAACGAGAUCCAACAUGACAAGGCACCGCCACCCAUGGAGGGAGCGGAGCAGCCAAUAUCACAUGUGGCCGUAAGCUGGAAGUGUCAGCGCAAGUGGAGCCCGCCUCCGGAAGGUUGGGCGAAGCUCAACGUGGAUGGGUCAUUCUCACACGAGGAUGGAAGCGCCGGUGUCGGCAUGAUCUUGCGCAGGCACGACGGUGCCAUCAUUUUCUCUGCAUGUCGUUCGCUUCGGUCAUGCCCGGACCCAUUGCACGCUGAGUUGGCCGGGUGCACGGAGGGACUCGGCCUAGCUUUGCAGUGGACGGAGUUGCCGAUUAUCCUGGAGUGUGACAAUCGUUUCCAACCGUUAGAUGGCUGCUGUCCUGAGGGUGGCUGCUCCCGUAGAAAAAACGGUGCAACGUGGUUAACUGGGCCUCGUUCCCGCACGAAGCCCAUUGGAUGCUGGCCCCAGCAGCUACACCUUCUUCCUUCAGUUCCCCUUCCUAUUCUCUGUCCGUCCGCCUCUCCCAUCUCAUCCCCAUUACCGGCGACGAACAUGGCGCGACGGAUCGAUCCAAACAUCAACGCGCGGCGUCCUCCCCCGCCUGAAUUCCCGACAACUCCUCUACCUCCUCCCCCUGCUCCACCACAACGAUGCAUGGAUUUGGCUUCCAGACAUCUGCAGCUAAAGGAAAUAAAAUUGAUGAUUGGUAGACUAGAACCAAAGAUUCCUUCAUCUGAUGGAAGGCUUCUUGUGCAAAAAAAGGCACUGGGAUGGCUGUUGAAUGUAAAGAAGCGGAAACAAUUGGAUGCCAAGAGGUACAAGACGAGUGAUGUGAAAGAGGGUCUAGCCACCCAGGGAAGUCGAGUCUCACACUCUCACUGGAAUUCCAAAGAACUCUCUGAAGCCUUGGUCUGCCAGCUUAAACCUGUCGAAUUGUCUACGAAGUAUCCUCGUGUUAAGUCAGUGCUUCUCACGCCGGGCUUCUUUAUGCAGUGUGGAAGCAGCCUUUUGCAUCGGAGUCAAGGCGCUGGGCCAUCCCCCAUCAAGGAAGCACUGAACAGCCUCUGGCAAAUGCCCCGCUGA
rnacentral:rRNA from 1 species